rnacentral:tRNA from 1 species
GCCUUUGUGAUGUAACGGUAGCAGGCUCGGGGCGUAAUCGAGAGGCCCAGGUUCGAGUCCCGGCAAGGGCA